rnacentral:rRNA from 1 species
GGAGAGUUUGAUCCUGGCUCAGAGUGAACGCUGGCGGCGUGCCUAAUACAUGCAAGUCGAACGAUGAAGCUUCUAGCUUGCUAGAGUGCUGAUUAGUGGCGCACGGGUGAGUAACGCAUAGGUCAUGUGCCUCUUAGUUUGGGAUAGCCAUUGGAAACGAUGAUUAAUACCAGAUACUCCCUACGGGGGAAAGAUUUAUCGCUAAGAGAUCAGCCUAUGUCCUAUCAGCUUGUUGGUAAGGUAAUGGCUUACCAAGGCUAUGACGGGUAUCCGGCCUGAGAGGGUGAACGGACACACUGGAACUGAGACACGGUCCAGACUCCUACGGGAGGCAGCAGUAGGGAAUAUUGCUCAAUGGGGGAAACCCUGAAGCAGCAACGCCGCGUGGAGGAUGAAGGUUUUAGGAUUGUAAACUCCUUUUGUUAGAGAAGAUAAUGACGGUAUCUAACGAAUAAGCACCGGCUAACUCCGUGCCAGCAGCCGCGGUAAUACGGAGGGUGCAAGCGUUACUCGGAAUCACUGGGCGUAAAGAGCGCGUAGGCGGGAUAGUCAGUCAGGUGUGAAAUCCUAUGGCUUAACCAUAGAACUGCAUUUGAAACUACUAUUCUAGAGUGUGGGAGAGGUAGGUGGAAUUCUUGGUGUAGGGGUAAAAUCCGUAGAGAUCAAGAGGAAUACUCAUUGCGAAGGCGACCUGCUGGAACAUUACUGACGCUGAUUGCGCGAAAGCGUGGGGAGCAAACAGGAUUAGAUACCCUGGUAGUCCACGCCCUAAACGAUGGAUGCUAGUUGUUGGAGGGCUUAGUCUCUCCAGUAAUGCAGCUAACGCAUUAAGCAUCCCGCCUGGGGAGUACGGUCGCAAGAUUAAAACUCAAAGGAAUAGACGGGGACCCGCACAAGCGGUGGAGCAUGUGGUUUAAUUCGAAGAUACACGAAGAACCUUACCUAGGCUUGACAUUGAGAGAAUCCGCUAGAAAUAGUGGAGUGUCUAGCUUGCUAGACCUUGAAAACAGGUGCUGCACGGCUGUCGUCAGCUCGUGUCGUGAGAUGUUGGGUUAAGUCCCGCAACGAGCGCAACCCCCUUUCUUAGUUGCUAACAGGUUAUGCUGAGAACUCUAAGGAUACUGCCUCCGUAAGGAGGAGGAAGGUGGGGACGACGUCAAGUCAUCAUGGCCCUUACGCCUAGGGCUACACACGUGCUACAAUGGGGUGCACAAAGAGAAGCAAUACUGUGAAGUGGAGCCAAUCUUCAAAACACCUCUCAGUUCGGAUUGUAGGCUGCAACUCGCCUGCAUGAAGCUGGAAUCGCUAGUAAUCGCAAAUCAGCCAUGUUGCGGUGAAUACGUUCCCGGGUCUUGUACUCACCGCCCGUCACACCAUGGGAGUUGUGUUUGCCUUAAGUCAGGAUGCUAAAUUGGCUACUGCCCACGGCACACACAGCGACUGGGGUGAAGUCGUAACAAGGUAACCGUAGGUGAACCUGCGGCUGGAUCACCUCCU